rnacentral:lncRNA from 1 species
GUUCAUUCUCAAAUGUAGCACGCCAGGACAAACACAGGCAAGACAGACAAGGAAAGCACAAGUAGGUAGCAGUUACAGCAAAUAGUUCAAGUAGCAGUUAAGAACAGUUUAGCAAUUAGGCAAACCAAAACAAGUUCAAACCCAAGCAAAGCAUACAAAUGCAUAUGAUGCAUGCCUGUCCUAUGGCUGAUGAGGCUCAUCUGUCGGUUAUCCAGCCAACCCGACAAGUCUGAAUUGUCCUUAGACUGUCCCCGGAC